rnacentral:tRNA from 1 species
GAGGCUAUAGCUCAGUUGUAGAACAUAUGCCUAGUAAGCAUGAGGUCCUGGGUUCAAUCCCCAGCGCCUCC